rnacentral:rRNA from 1 species
UACGUAGGAUGCUAGCGUUGUCCGGAUUUACUGGGCGUAAAGCGCGCGCAGGCGGCACUGUAAGUAAGGUGUGAAAUAUCCCUGCUCAACGGGGAGGGUGCACUUUAGACUGCAGAGCUAGAGGACGGUAGAGGGGGGUGGAAGUUGCUGGUGUAGCGGUGAAAUGCGUAGAGAUCAGCAGGAACACCCGUGGCGAAGGCGG